UACGUAGGGGGCGAGCGUUGUCCGGAUUCAUUGGGCGUAAAGAGCUCGUAGGCGGCUUGGCAAGUCAGGUGUGAAACCUCCAGGCUCAACCUGGAGCCGCCACCUGAAACUGCCAUGGCUAGAGUCCGGUAGGGGACCACGGAAUUCCUGGUGUAGCGGUGAAAUGCGCAGAUAUCAGGAGGAACACCAGUGGCGAAGGCGGUGGUCUGGGCCGGUACUGACGCUGAGGAGCGAAAGCGUGGGGAGCGAACAGG
rnacentral:rRNA from 1 species